AUGGGUUUAGUAUAAUAUAAUAUGUUAGGUUUAGGUCCUAGGGAUUGAUACCCAUU
rnacentral:tRNA from 1 species